CCUACGGGAGGCAGCAGUGGGGAAUUUUGGACAAUGGGCGAAAGCCUGAUCCAGCAAUGCCGCGUGAGUGAAGAAGGCCUUCGGGUUGUAAAGCUCUUUUGUCAGGGAAGAAACGGUGAGAGCUAAUAUCUCUUGCUAAUGACGGUACCUGAAGAAUAAGCACCGGCUAACUACGUGCCAGCAGCCGCGGUAAUACGUAGGGUGCAAGCGUUAAUCGGAAUUACUGGGCGUAAAGCGUGCGCAGGCGGUUUUGUAAGUCUGUCGUGAAAUCCCCGGGCUCAACCUGGGAAUUGCGAUGGAGACUGCAAGGCUAGAAUCUGGCAGAGGGGGGUAGAAUUCCACGUGUAGCAGUGAAAUGCGUAGAGAUGUGGAGGAACACCGAUGGCGAAGGCAGCCCCCUGGGUCAAGAUUGACGCUCAUGCACGAAAGCGUGGGGAGCAAACAGGAUUAGAUACCCUGGUAGUCCACGCCCUAAACGAUGUCUACUAGUUGUCGGGUUUUAAUAACUUGGUAACGCAGCUAACGCGUGAAGUAGACCGCCUGGGGAUACGGUCGCAAGNUUAAAACCNGAAAGAUUGACGNUAGAGACGAGCGACGACGACGACGAGGGAGGAGG
rnacentral:rRNA from 1 species